rnacentral:rRNA from 1 species
UAAAAUAUUUGAGUUUGAUCCUGGCUCAGAAUGAAUGCUAGCGAUAUGCCUAACACAUGCAAGUUGAACGUAAUAUUGAAUAUUCAAUAUUAAGUAGCAUACGGGUGAGUAAUACAUGGAAAUCAAUCUAACAGUUCGGGAUAAGUAUAUGGUAUAAAAAACCAGAAGAAUGGAUAUUUUAUGAUAUCUGUUUUGUAUUAAUACCGAAUUAAAAGAUUUAUCGCUGUUAGAUGAGUUUGUGUAAGAUUAGGUAGUUGGUAGGGUAAAUGCCUACCAAGCCUUUGAUCUUUAGCUGGUCUGAGAGGACGAUCAGCCACAAUGGGACUGAAACACGGCCCAUACUCUUUUUGGAGGCAGCAGUGGGGAAUAUUGGACAAUGGGCUAACGCUUGAUCCAGCAAUAUCGCGUGAGUGACUGAAGCCUAUUUUUGGUGUAAAACUCUUUCGGCAAGAAGGAUAAUGACCGUACUUGCAGAAGAAGUCCCGGCUAACUCUGUGCCAGCAGCCGCGGUAAUACAGGGGGGACUAGUAUUAUUCGGAAUAAUUGGGCGUAUAGGGCAUGUAGGCGGUUUAUUUUGUUGAAAGUGAAAUUCCAAAAUUGUUAUUUUGGAAAAGAUUUCAAGACGAAUAGACUUGAGUUCGAUAUAGGAUAGUAGAAUUUCUAGUGUAGAGAUAAAAUUCGUAAAUAUUAGAAGGAAGACCAUUUGGCGAAAGCAACUAUCUGGUUCGAUAUUACUGACGCUGAAAUGCUAAAGCAUGGGUAGCAAACGGGAUUAGAGACCCCAGUAGUCCAUGCUGUAAAUGAUGAGUGUUAAAUAUUGGAUUUUUUCAGUAUUGUAGUUAACACGUUAAACACUCCGCCUGGGAAGUACGGCCGCAAGGUUGAAACUCAAAGGAAUUGACGGAGGACCGCACAAGCGGUGGAGCAUGUGGUUUAAUGCGAUACAACGCGCAAAACCUUACCAGUAUUUGCAUAUUAGACGAAGUAUUAAAUAGAGAUAUUUUUUUACAUGUUCUAAUAUACAGGUGUUGCAUGGCUGUCGUCAGCUCGUGUCGUGAGAUGUUUGGUUAGGUCCUGUAACGAGCGCAACCCUUAUUUUUAGUUGCUAACAUAUUAAGAUGAGCACUCUAAUUUAACUGCCUGUGAUAAACUGGAGGAAGGUGAGGAUGACGUCAAGUCUUUAUGACCCUUAUAUACUGGGCUACACACGUGCUACAAUGAUAAUAACAAAAAGAAGCAAUAAUGUAAAUUGGAGCAAAUCUUUAAAUAUUAUCUCAGUACGGAUUGUUCUCUGCAACUCGAGAAUAUGAAGUUGGAAUCGCUAGUAAUCGUAUAUCAGCACGUUACGGUGAAUACGUACUCGGGCCUUGUACACACCGCCCGUCACGCCAAGGGAAUUAAUUUGACCUGAAGUUAGUGUUUUUUUAACCAUAUAUUUUUUUGUUUUAUAAAUUUAUUAUUAUAUUUAAAACUUUAAAUAUUUGUUAAAGAAUCAUUAAUUAUGGUUAAUUAGUAACCAGGGUGAAGUCGUAACAAGGUAGUCGUAGAGGAAUCUGUGGCUGGAUUACCUUAUUU